rnacentral:lncRNA from 1 species
GUCGAGGUAACAGACAACGCAUUGCUGCAGUUUCACAGCUGAUACAGUACGUUUCAAAUCUUUCGUUGUGAUUAUUUCGUUGUAUUUAAGAAUAUAACCCAAAAUGGUUAAUAUGACAUUUCACAGUGGGGUUUAAAAUCUGGACGAUCUUAGCAAUAUUUACCAGCCAUGUAUGCAUAUUACUCCACUUUCACCCAUCUGAUAUUUUAACCUAUUUGUAGAAUUUCCUGCCUCUGACUCUUGCUUUAAUAUAUAACUUAUAAAUGUCAUGAUAGUUUAUUUAGUCUUCUAGUUUGAAUUGGUUUACAUUUGUUAAAUCGGGGCCUUUUAUUGCUAUAUAUGCGGAAUUGGUUUACAUUUGUUAAAUCAGGGUCUUUUAUUGCUAUAUAUGUGGAAUUGAUUGCUCAUUAUUAAAGGCCAUCGGUCACCUAUAGACGUUCAUUAUUGUGUCCUUUGGCCUCCUGUGAAGAGUUGUCUCAUUGGCAAUCACACAACAUCUUCUUAUUUCUAAUUUUAUAUAUA